rnacentral:rRNA from 1 species
GACGAACGCUGGCGGCGUGCCUAAUACAUGCAAGUCGAGCGCAGGAAGCUGACGGAACUCUUCGGAGGAAAGGUAGUGGAAUGAGCGGCGGACGGGUGAGUAACACGUAAGGAACCUGCCUCAAGGAUUGGGAUAACUCCGAGAAAUCGGAGAUAAUACCGGAUAGUUCAACGGACCGCAUGGUCCGCUGAUGAAAGGCGCUCCGGCGUCACCUUGAGAUGGCCUUGCGGUGCAUUAGCUAGUGGGUGGGGUAACGGCCCACCAAGGCGACGAUGCAUAGCCGACCUGAGAGGGUGAUCGGCCACACUGGGACUGAGACACGGCCCAGACUCCUACGGGAGGCAGCAGUAGGGAAUCUUCCACAAUGGACGAAAGUCUGAUGGAGCAACGCCGCGUGAGUGAUGAAGGUUUUCGGAUCGUAAAACUCUGUUGUAAGGGAAGAACACGUACGAGAGGGAAUGCUCGUACCUUGACGGUACCUUACGAGAAAGCCACGGCUAACUACGUGCCAGCAGCCGCGGUAACAC